UCCGCUGCCCCGGGAGGGCGUGGGGCUGGUCGCUGGCCCCAGGGAUGGCGGCGGGGAUCGGCCUCCUGACCCACGCAACGAGGGAUAGGACACGAGGAUCCUCAAGGCCACGGCAAUUUCCAUCCUGUGGCUUGUAAAGUCCAAGAGGUCCAGAAAAAGCUUUGGAGAAUGGGGGAAGAACCCAGCUCAGCCAGCAUAUGCUUUCACUUGCACACAGGAGGCAGAACAGAUGCCUUACAGCUGACCGAGAUUGCAGAACUCAUUUCAAGUAACACAGGGCACAGAUCCCUCUUGGAAACCUUUUUCAGAUAGAACUGCUUAAACAGUAGGGCACAAUCCCCAGAAGAUCACAGACUGAGAAACACUCAGCCAGAGGGAAGACUGAGGAAGGAGUUGGGGGGUAGCGUUCCACCACAGGUGUCCAAAAGUCACUGGCAAAGACGGGAAAAGCUCACGGGUGACACAAUGCAGAAGAAAGUUCUCGGCUUUUCUAACAAACAGAAGUCUUCGAAAAGUUUGAUCCCUGCAGGAUGUGUCCAUCUCAGAGAAAAUACCCAUUCAGGUGCAUUGGCUGCCUCAGCAGAGAGCUCAAGGAUUGAAUGGGUGAUGGAGUCUUCAAUAUCUACACAUCUCUGAGGGUGAAUCCAGGGGGAGCCACAUUAAUAAAAAUGCUGCUGCAUAUAUCUUACUGCUGAAUAAAAGCAUCAUUUUCAGAUGUUGUCAGUCUCCAGCCUGACACAGAUAUUAA